rnacentral:misc_RNA from 1 species
GGGAGUGCUUGUGACAGCACCACAGGACACUGCGAGCAGAGUCGGCAAUCCCGACAGACGACGCUCGGAGACUUCAGUUCUGAAACCUCCGACGACGAGGCUUCCCUUGUAGGAAGCCCCGCCCUUUAGGGCGGGCGAGGAUGUCACAUAGCGAAAUAUU